UGGGGAAUAUUGCGCAAUGGGGGAAACCCUGACGCAGCGACGCCGCGUGCGGGAUGAAGGCCUUCGGGUUGUAAACCGCUUUUGAUUGGGAGCAAGCUUUCGGGUGAGUGUACCUUUCGAAUAAGCGCCGGCUAACUACGUGCCAGCAGCCGCGGUAAUACGUAGGGGGCUAGCGUUAUCCGGAUUUACUGGGCGUAAAGGGUGCGUAGGUGGUCUUUCAAGUCGGUGGUUAAAGGCUACGGCUCAACCGUAGUUAGCCUCCGAAACUGGAAGACUUGAGUGCAGGAGAGGAAAGUGGAAUUCCCAGUGUAGCGGUGAAAUGCGUAGAUAUUGGGAGGAACACCAGUAGCGAAGGCGGCUUUCUGGACUGCAACUGACACUGAGGCACGAAAGCGUGGGUAGCAAACAGG
rnacentral:rRNA from 1 species